rnacentral:lncRNA from 1 species
CCCUUCUUAAAUUCAUAAACAAUUUUAACUUAAGGUGCAGAAAGUACAACACACUCAUAUGUAUUAUUGCAUAUGAUGUGUUCGUAAUAACCCUUUAUUCAAACAUUACAUGGAAUUAAAGAAUAAAAUUAAAAUAGCAAGUACAUUAAACUCCAAAUUAAAUUAAACCUCAGCCACAACUAUGUCAUACUCCUCUCGAUCAUUGAGAACCCAUUUUCCAUCUUCUUGCUGAACCAUUCCUUUGUUCUUCACAGUCCACCAAUUUGCUGGGACAAGAUACUCACUUUUCAAUGCACCUGAAUAUUUGUUAACAAGCGCGAUAUCGCGAUCCACCUCUAGUUUAAAACCUGUGAAAAGUCCUAUACCUUGAGUUCCCGCAACUCCAUGCAUGUAACACUCUAAAUUAUGCCAUGUGAUGAUAUCUCCAGGGAGAUUUAAAUAAGGGGAUUUUGUGGUGUCGAUUAUUAUUUCCUGCCCAACGUCGGAAUAUCCAAUAGGUGGGCAUUUCGGAACAAGAUCCAAUAUGUUAUGAAUUCUCAUAACGUGAAGGUGUUUUAAUUUGUUAAAUGCGUUAACAAAAUUGAGAUCUCCAACUUUAGGACUUGCAAAUACAAAAGCUGUCACUGGAAAUUCCUUCCCAUUACUUGACUUGUUUAUUUUAUUGUAAGCUAUGUCAACUGCAUUCAGAGUCGCUAGGGAUGCACCUAGGCUAUGUCCAGUCACAGUUAUGCUCACCUCUUCAUUCUUAUAUUCCUCGACCAAUCUCUUCACUUCUUCAAGGACCUAUACGUAACGUACUUUUUAAUUAAAUGGCAUUAAAUCAAAAUAUAUGUACGAAUUCAAGGUCAAAAUUAUAUAUACCUGAUCUCUAGCACUUGUUUUAUUAAACUUUGAUCGUGCACUUUCUGAUGUAUAAACGCUGUAGAAGCCAUUAUGCACCAAUGGUUUGGACAAAGGAAGUAAACCCUCAUCACCAAACACUUUUGGUCCUGGAAUUGGUAAAAAUUGAAGGUCUUUAACCCACUCCAGUGCUUGAACUGUUCCUCUCCAAGCAAUCACAAUAUCCCUCCUUCCUAGUGAAACUUUACCCUCAUCAGUAGCCACAGCAACAUAUCCCAUAAAAUUUGAUUCCGUAAUGACAGUAUCAGGAAAUGGCAUGAAUAUAUGAGUAAAUAAUAAAUUUGAUUGAGUUCUUUUUAAUGAUAGUCAUAAAUGAUGUGCUAAAUGGUCUGAAAUUUAAGUAAGUACAAGUGUACAACAUUUAAAUAGCCCUUCUUAAAAACAUAAACAAGUUUAACUUAAGAUGCAGAAAGUACAACUUAAUUACAACACACUCAUAUGUAUUAUUGCAUAUGAUGUGUUCGUAAUAACCCUUUAUUCAAACAUUACAUGGAAUUAAAGAAUAAAAUUAAAAUAGCAAGUACAUUAAACUCCAAAUUAAAUUAAACCUCAGCCACAACUAUGUCAUACUCCUCUCGAUCAUUGAGAACCCAUUUUCCAUCUUCUUGCUGAACCAUUCCUUUGUUCUUCACAGUCCACCAAUUUGCUGGGACAAGAUACUCACUUUUCAAUGCACCUGAAUAUUUGUUAACAAGCGCGAUAUUGCGAUCCACCUCUAGUUUAAAACCUGUUAAAAGUCCUAUACCUUGAGUUCCCGCAACUCCGUGCAUGUAACACUCCAAAUUAUGCCAUGUGAUGAUAUCUCCAGGGAGAUUUAAAUAAGGGGAUUUUGUGGUGUCGAUUAUUAUUUCCUGCCCAACGUCGGAAAAUCCAAUAGGUGGGCAUUUCGGAACAAGAUCCAAUAUGUUAUGAAUUCUCAUAACGUGAAGGUGUUUUAAUUUGUUAAAUGCGUUAACAAAAUUGAGAUCUCCAACUUUAGGACUUGCAAAUACAAAAGCUGUCACUGGAAAUUCCUUCCCAUUACUUGACUUGUUUAUUUUAUUGUAAGCUAUGUCAACUGCAUUCAGAGUCGCUAGGGAUGCACCUAGGCUAUGUCCAGUCACAGUUAUGCUCACCUCUUCAUUCUUAUAUUCCUCGACCAAUCUCUUCACUUCUUCAAGGACCUAUACGUAACGUACUUUUUAAUUAAAUGGCAUUAAAUCAAAAUAUAUGUACGAAUUCAAGGUCAAAAUUAUAUAUACCUGAUCUCUAGCACUUGUUUUAUUAAACUUUGAUCGUGCACUUUCUGAUGUAUAAACGCUGUAGAAGCCAUUAUGCACCAAUGGUUUGGACAAAGGAAGUAAACCCUCAUCACCAAACACUUUUGGUCCUGGAAUUGGUAAAAAUUGAAGGUCUUUAACCCACUCCAGUGCUUGAACUGUUCCUCUCCAAGCAAUCACAAUAUCCCUCCUUCCUAGUGAAACUUUACCCUCAUCAGUAGCCACAGCAACAUAUCCCAUAAAAUUUGAUUCCGUAAUGACAGUAUCAGGAAAUGGCAUGGAUGAAGUAGCAUAGAAAUAUUUGGUUACGCGAUACUUCGAUGCAUCAAGGCCAACAUUAGAAAAAAGAUUUUCCAUCGAGUAUCUACUUGCUCCAGCAUAUUUUGAUGCUUUUUCUGAAAUGAAAGUGUCAUAAGUUACAUGAGCUAAUUCUCCAUAUUGAAUGAUAUAUUUACGUAGAUCAACAUCCAAGGGGUUUAAUAACCCUUCCCAAUUGUUUUUCCCACUAAGUUCCUCCCAUUUCUCAGCCAUGCUAGACAUUUUUUUUUUCUUUUUGUUACUCUUAGUUUUUUCUUGGUAUGUGAAGUACAUUAAGCCCAUGAAUUUAUAGGGAAGCAACUUCGUUGAUCUCUAAGGUUUUUCCAUUUUCAUGCAUGAAAUAUGUUUUGAUUUUAAUUUUUUUUAUUUUUGUGAAUUAUUGUCAUAGUCCAGUAAUAAAUGAAUUAACCAAGAAAGCAUUAAAACUAGUACUAGUAGGACUAAUAAUAAUGACUUCCAUAUUGAAUUUCUGAACUACUACCACCAUUAACAUUUUGCUGUUUGGCCAUAUGAAGAACAUUUUAGCAUAUUUGAAAUAAUAUAUAGAUAGUAUUAACUUCAAACUUCAAAUAUAGAAUUAAAUUGCAUCAAGUUUUAACUUGCAAAACUUCAACUCGGUCUAGGGUUAUGGUGGAGUGGUAAGUAAUUAGGUUUCCGGUUCGAGUCCUCUAGGUACGAAGUCGCCUUUUGUUAGGGAGCGCUUUACCUGACAUGGGACUUCCUAGCACGAAUUUAGAUUUAGUCGGACUCCGGUGAAAAAAAAGAAGCUCGAUCUGUUUUAAUGUCCAAAUUGAACAAACUUUUAACUUAAAAUCAACUUAAUUUACUUCGAGUGUUAACUUUGAUAAUUUCAACCAAAUUAUGUACAGACACUUUAUCCUUAGUUUGAAUUUGUAGAGGGGAAAAGUAAGUUCCAAAAUACCUACUAUUUAAUUUCAUCACUUCAUUAAAUGACACUAAAAAUGGAGUCCCCAUAAACUCCAAAGUUUUAACAAACAACUAACCAAAGUACUAAUGCUGAUGAACAAUCCCUAGAACUUGAAAGUCAUUGUACCAAAACUCUACUAACGAUAAGUCUAAGAACAAGGGGUACAACCCCGAAACUAAACAACACCUUAAACAAAUUUCUGAGUCCGAAAAGAGCGGACUUAAACAAGAGAGAUCCAUGGCGGCCUGAAAGAACUGGCUCACCCUUGAAUACGGUCACACUCAAUAAUCACUUAGCUGAGGUCUAUCAAUAGAACAACAAACAGUCUUUCAACCUCAAUCACCAUUAGAUAUGAACGUAAUCAACACAAGUAGAUACACAUCACAAUUCAAUGGUCCUCUCACGGAACCCAAUUCAAUGGUCCUCUCAUGGAACCCAAAACCCAAAUUGUUAGUGUACCAAUUUGUGGUACCCGAUCCAAUGUUUAUGUCGGAACGUGGCAACCGAUCCCAUGUUUAUGCCGAAACAUGACAACUGAUCCAUUCAACAAACCACAAUCACAAUCACAAUGUAUAUUCUCACAAUCAUACAACAAGAGGUGAUUCAUGGCAUACAAUUAUUCAAUUAUCCUAAUUUACGAUUAGGGUGAUCAAUAAUGAAACUUUCGCAUACAUACAUGCAUUAUAAUGAGCAAUUACAAACAUAUAUCACACCAACAUGAAAUCACAACCAACACCUAUACAAGCUUGAUUACUCAUCUCUUUUCUUUUUUUGAAUUUUUUUAUUAUGUUAUUUCUUGGUCUCACUACAAGAAAAUAUACUUAUUGCUACGAAAUAUAAGCUAUGAAUUCAAAAAUCGUAGCUAUUACAUAGUAAUAGCCAAAAGAUUCAAAUUUCGUGGCUAAUUAAAAAUUCAUCAAAUUUCUUAGCCACAAAUAUUAAGUUUACAAAGCUAAAUCCUUGUAUUUGCUAUAAUCGCUAACAAUCAUGACAAUAAUUAUCUAAAUAGCUACAAUUUUAUUGCUAAAAUAAAAUUAUGUAGCUAAUUAUAACUUUUUUGCUACCCAAUAAAAAUAAUUGUAGCAAUAGCAACUCUUUAGCCAUAAUAAGUUAUUUGAAACAAAAUAUUGUGGCUAAAUAAAUAAUUUUGCUUCAAGUUAUAAAAAUAUGUGGCAAUAGUUAAAUGAUAUAGCCAUAGAGUUUUGCUAUAGUAAAAUUUCGUAACUAAUUACUAUUUUUUGCCACGAAUUUUAAUUUACCGUAGUAAUAAUAACAUUUUAGCCAUAAUAACUUAUUUGCAGAAAUAUUUGUAGCAAAACAAAUAAUUUAGCUUUAAGUUAUAAAAUAUUGUGGCAAUAAUUAAAUGAAAUAGACAUAGAUUUUCUUCUAUAAUAAAAAUUCAUAGCUGAUACUUAUUUUUUGCCACAAAUUUGAAUUUAUCAUAGUAAUACUAACCUUUCAGCCACAAUAACUUAUUUGAAGAAAAAAUUGUAGCUAAAUGUUUUUUUUUCAAGCUAUAAAAGUCGUGGGAUAUUAAAAAUAUAAUCAUAGAUUUUUUGCUAUAAUACAAUUUUAUAGUUAAUUACAAGUUUUUUUCACGAUCAUGUUGAAACUUAUUGAAGCAAUAGUAAUUUUUUAUACAUAGGAAGUAAUUUAAAAUAAAAUAUAAUAACUUAAUAAACAUUAUGUUUCGAGUAGCAAAAAAUUGUUACAAUAAUUAACUUAAUAGUUAAAAUUAUUUGUCAUGAAAAAAUGAUACAACUAUGUGAGUACAAUUGUGGUGAUACAUUUUAUCUAAUACAAGGUGAAACGUAAGUCUUGAGGUGCUUCAUCUUAUGUUGAGAAUUCAUUUUAUAUUACUCGGACCUCUUCUAUCGAACAUUAUAUUUAUCGAGCUAGGUUAUACGACUCGGACCUCUUCUAUCGAACAUUAUAUUUAUCGAGCUAUCUUAAUUAGAGAUGCCAAUCUUUCUAUCAAUUCAAUUUUACAAAAUCUUAAUUUGGAAGUUUUAAGUAUAAUUUAAAUAAAUAGAAGUUAUAAAAAAAAUAGAAGUUAUGUCUAAUUGAUUUGAUGUAAUUGUACUUUUUUUAUACAAAAAAAAAUGUAUAAUCAAUUUACAAAUCAUUAAAUAAUAUCAUAUUUUAUUCAAAUAUGCAAUAUGAAUUAUUCUUGAAUAUAGAUAGAUAAAUCAAUUGUUUGUUGAAUAUAAUUAAUACACAUAGGAAGCGAUAUUGAUAUUCAUUUUUUUUUAAUCUUCUGUUAUUGGCAAUUUUUAUUUAUUUCUUAUUUUAAUGUUAACUUCCUAAUCCAUAUAAUUUUUGUAUUUUCAAUUAAAACUACAAAACUACAAUACAAAAUUCACAUCUCUAUUUAAAUUAAAAUUGAAAUAACCAGACAAGUUGUCUAUUUUUUUCCUAUAAUAUUUUGAAUUCAUAUAAUUUUUAUAUUUUAUUCAAACUAAUAAUAGUAAUUCAAUAUUAAGAGUGGUUAUAAAUUUAACUAAACACUAUUCCCUCUAUUUCAUAUUAGUUGUCUAUUUUUUCCUUGACACGAUGCUAAGUAAUUCAAAAUAAAAAGAAUAUUUUUUACUACUUUACCCCAUAAUAUUUUUUAUCUGGAACUUCAUAAACAUGUUUACACUUUAAAAAAGAAUUAAUUGUAAGGGAUAUUGAAAAAAUUGUAAUUGAUUUUUAUCUUUAUUUCAUAAAUUGACAAUUAAUUAGAGAUAACUAUGAGUAGCUGAUCUCUUUACCAUCUUAUUGCGCGACACCUAACAUCAAAUAUCACCAAAAAAUCAUCAAACCUGACCACCUAUUUCACCAUCGAACUAAGGGGUCAAAUGGACGGGUUGAGUUGAAAUUAGAGAUAUUAAAAUAGGUUGAAAUAGAAAUUGGGUUGGGUCUUGACCCCCCCCCCCCCCCCCCACUNNNNNNGGCUUCCCCCCCCCCCCCCCCCCAAGUUUACUUUGGGCUCAAAUGGGUUGGGUUCAAAUGGGCUAAAAAUGAGUUGGGUCUUGACCUGUCCAAUUUGACCCAAUUAAUCUCAAUAUAUAAUUUUACAUAGUGAUAUUUAACUUUAAUAAUCACAAUUAGAAUUUCAGCUCAAGAUUUUUUUUAAAAAAAGUAACAAAUGGAUAGAUAAAUCUUAAAAGAUGUUAAAUAGAUAAUAAUUCAUACCUUUAAUAUAGGAACAUAUCUUAGUAAAGAGUUUUAAAACGGGUUGAAAUUGGAGAUUGAAUUGGGCUCAAUUGAGGAUUCUCUUAUAAUAGGUUAGGAUUGAAUGAGUUGAGAUUGAACCAAAUUCAAAUUAUCUUAAGCCCAACCCUUAAAAUUCUGGACGAAUUACCUAUGUUUGGGUUCAUUUUUGACACCCCAACAUCGAACACUCAACAAAACAAUUAUCAGCAUUUAUUUACAAAGAGCUUAGUCGAACAAUUGACAAAUUAAUGCUCGAUUAACCAUAACUAAUUCUGUGAAAAAUCUAGAGAUGGUGUUUUUAAGAGAGAAGAAAGGUCUAUAAAAAUACAUUAUAAGAUUGAAUUUUGUGCAAAAUUUAAUAACUUCUUACAAACAAGAAAAAGGUACGGAAGUGUUCUUAUUUCAUGUUCUCACAAUCAACAAAAAAGACAAAUAAAUUGAAUAAUCAAUGCAUUUGAAAAAAUUAAUGGUGGAAGUUGGAGUAGUAAAAAUUGAUCAAUUUUAGGUGUCUCGCUAAAAUCUUUUCCAAGCACUGAACCUAAUUAGUUGAACAACUUUGCAUAUCUUUGUUGUGAAUUUUGACCUCAAUAUUCUUUUAUGUUUUUUCUCUCAAAAAAAUUACCAUUAUAAAAAUUAAUUUGUGGUAAGACGAAAAAAUAGAGGAGGAGAAAUAUAAGAUGGCGUGAAGAUGAAGGGGUGGGGGGUCAGUGGCGGAUCCAGGAUUUUUGCUGAGGGGGUUCAAAGUAUAAAGAAGAUAACACAAGUGUGUGGUGAGCGUAGUAGCCCCUCGGCAUCCUCUUUGUAUAAGAAUCAUAAAUAUUUCAUUGGUUCAUAAAAGUAAAAUCUAAACUAAUCAAAGAUAUCAAGGACAAAGAUACAUUGAUAAGAAUUUUAGCGGAUCAACUGUAUUACAUAAAUUAAUUCCUAAAACGUGUGAAAAUUAAAUGAUGAAAAAGGGAGCGAGAUGGGGAAGAAAGAUAUUUACCUUAUCAUGCUAAAUCUAACAUACUUUAUUUUACCAUAUUAAACAUUUCUUUCUACUUUUAUCAUGCUCCAUCGAGGAUUCUUAAAAUUUCUUGUGUGUUUAUACUUUUAUUUUGUAAUGUUUUACUUUAGUUUUCACUUUUUAAAAAAUUAAAUUUGUAUCCAUUCAAUCACAUAUUACUAUGAAAAUCGUCAAGUUUCUCUAUAAAUGUGUAAGAAUAGAGUUACUAAUAUUAUAAUGCAUAUUCAAAAGAUAAAUGAAUAACAUCGUCAAUUUUUUUAGUUCAUAUAGUUCAAUUUACUAGGUUAGUCAUAAUUUGUAAAAAUGACAAAUAACGAAUAAAUCAAAUAAGUUUAAUUUUCAUCCCUCUAAAAUAGAAUUAAAAAUAUAAAAUAAUUUCAUGAAUUCUAUAAAUUAAUAUUUUUAAAAGGGUGUUAACGAUAUUUAAGUUUCUUCAUUAAAUUACAUCUAAUUUAUCAUUUAAAAAGUGAUGAUUUCUUUGAAGAAAUAUAUGAAGAGUAUUCAAGUAGUUCAGAAGAAUCUGAAUGAAUAGAGAAAUACAAGAAAGAGAAGAUUCUGUUCAAAUUUUAGAAACAGAAGAAGAUCAUCGAGGAUAUGCUUUGAAAGCCACCUUCGAUGGAGAAACUUUCAGAAAAAUCCAAGGAUUAAAAUUGAAUCUUAAAGUAGAAGAUAAUUUACUUAGCAGAAUGCAAAGAAUAUUUGCAAGAGAUAAAAUUUCUUAUCAUGAAUAUCAAGAAAUUGAAAAGGUAAUAGAAAUUACCCAAACAACAGAAAAACACAAAUUAAACCUGUUAACAAAAUCUAUGAUAGAUCAAAUUCUUAGGAAAAUCCCUGAAAAAAAGAGAAAGAAAAUGAAUUAUGUUCAUUUAGGAGGAAUCCAAAUAUUAGUCAAAUCGACUUUUAAAGAAGGAAUCAACUGUCCAAUAGUAAUAAACUUAUCAGAUGAAAGAUUUAUAAAUGCAAGAGAAGGAAAUCUUGGUAUAGUAGAGGGAAACCUAGCCUAUACAAAAUUCUUGUUUACAUAUUAUCCGAAAUAUUGUAUAUCACUCAAAGAUGCUGAUUUUAAUGACGCAUUGAGUUUACAUUUUCAAAUCAAAAGAAAUGAUUUAUUCAAAUCAGGUAAUCAUAUAAUGAGUAUAUAUUACCAAGCAUUAUACACAGUCACAAAUUCAAACUAUGGUAAAGUGUAUAAAAGUAAAGGAAUGAUCGAAAUAGAUCAAGAAUGUGCAGGAAUUGCGAGAAUAGUUGAAGCAGAAAUUCAACAAGCCCAAAUUCCAGAUGAAUAUGAAAUUCGAUUUGGAAAAACACAAGAAAUAGGAAGUACUAGUAAUCCUAGACUUUCAAUAGAAUAUGGAAGAAAUUCAAUAAGAGAAAGUAUAUCUAACAGAUAUUCAUUAAAAAUUGAAGCUCCAAAUAUAACAAAAAUAAAUGGAAGAAUUUUCAAUGGAACAGAAUGGAAAAAUCAAGAAAUCUAAUGGUAGUCUAAUAGAUGGAAUACCAAAAUACGAAGGAAAACAAUAUACUUACAAAACCUUUGAAGGUAAUAACUUUAGUUGUAAAAAUAUGGUAAAUAUACCUAUACAACUUGAUACUAUAAGAAUAACAGUACCCUGUUAUAUUACUAAUCACGAAAGUGAUCAAGAAUUAAUUCUAGGAAAUUUAUUCCUAAACAAAUUAGAAGACUAUAGCAUUGGAAAAAAUGGUAUAGAAAUGAUAUACAAAGGCGAAACUUGUUUCAUAAAAAAAAUAUAGAUGCCUAAAGAAACAAUUUUCAAAGUAUCGAUUUUCAUAGAAAUAACAUUCUAUGAUACAAAACUAACAACAUGCUGUCAGAUAGACAAUGGAUCUGAAGCAAGUUUAGCAAAGUCCUUUUUAAUAAAAAAUUGGGACAUGAAUAUGAAUAAUAUCUCAAUGAUAGGAAUCACAGGAGAUAAAGAAAAAUUAUCAAAAUCCAAAGAAAAGGUAGAAAUAAUUUUAGGAUCAAAGAUUGUUUCUAUAAAUACAUUGUUUGCCUAUGAUAAACUAGAAACGGAUUUAUUAUUGGGAAAUGAUUUUCUACAACAAUUUCAAGAUUAUCAUCAAACAAUAUACAUGAUAAGCUUAAAAAUUCCUUGUGGACACUUCAUAAAAGUUCCAAGAAAACAAAAUCCAUAUAAUUUGGAGAAAGAUAAUAAUGGAAAUUUAAAGAGAAAAUACUUAGAAAAUCUAAGAAAAAUUUCUUGUAAAUGCCUUAAUCUAGAAAAGAUAAAAGAAAAUUUACAAAAAUUAUACGGAGAAAAUCCAUUAGAAAAAUGGGAACAAUAUCAUGAAAGGGCAACAUUAACCUUAAAAGACCCUAGUAUAAUCAUUAGAGUCAAACCCAUGCUCUAUAACGAAGAUGACAAAAUUGAAUUUAAAAUUCAAAUUAAAGAAUUAACUCAAUCUAAAAAUUAAUAAGAAUGAGUAAAAGCCCUCACAGUAGCCCAGCAUUUAUGGUAAGAAAUCAUGCUGAAAUAAAAAGAGGAAAAGCUCGUAUGGUUAUAAACUAUAAAGAGCUAAACAAAAAUUGUAUCUUUACAAUAAAUUUGUGUAUUUAUUCUUUUAGCUUUUUUCUGGAUGUUAUGAGACAUACAGAGUUGACUAAGUCUAUUUUUCAGGAAACUUAUUCUCUAUCCUAGAGUGUCUCCUUUUUUGCUUUCUUUUUCGUAUUCUUCUCUGAAGUAUUUUGCCCAGAAGCCUGGUAAUUUUUGAUAGUAUUUUUCUAGAUAAGGUGUCAUUUCCUUACUACUAUCGAAUAUCUUGUAGUAAUAUUCUUCGAAUUCACAAGUAUAUUCUUGAAUAUAACUCAUUUUGCAAAUUUGUAAUUUUUCUAAUUGCUCUUUGGCAAUUGUUCUAAUUAUUUCUUUAUUUUCUUCUUAUAUAUAUAUAUAUAUAUAAUUUCUAUCUCAAUUUCUAGUUAAAUAUAAUUCAUCAUAUUUAAAAGAUUUUAGUUUCAGUUAGUAUAUGAAAGGAGUUACGUUGAAACAACAUGAAUAAUAGAUAUAAAAAUAAUAAAAAAUAAAAAUAAAAAGAAUGUGUCUAAUAAAUUUAAACAAAAACAAAUUAAAAAGAAGAAAUGGAAUAAAAUGAAAAAAUAAUGAAAAAGAAGAAGAAGGUCUAAGCCCAAAAGUUACAUUUUUCUAAGCAUUAAAAAAAAUAGGGGGAAAAUGUUACCCAAGGGAUUUGAACCCGUGACCUAGGGGAACGCACAUCUUGAACCACUUAUCCACUGAGCCAUGCCUGUACUUUGUUUACAAGGGGUUCAUUUUGAGUAUUACCACUAUUCUUCUUGGGAUAUCCACGAAGUUUAUUAAUUUCUAAAUCAACUUGAUUUUUAAAAUCAAAAGUGGUUUCCAUAUUAUCUGCAAAAUCAUCGGAUAAAUGAAGAGGUUUAGCUCCAAAUUUAGAAAAAGAUUUAUCAAGAAGUUUUUCUAAAUCAUAAAGUGGUUUAAAUACAAAAUCCUGAAUCUCAGGGGGUCUUUGCACAUGAGUAGAAAGUUCAGAAAGUGAUUUGGACGUAGAUGCUUGCUCAGAAGGUUUUAAUUCCUUUUUAAUUUGAAUUAUUAGCGCAGUUAAGUCAUCUAAUUUUUUAUCAAGAGAACUAAUAUGCUCUCCUAUGACUUUAACAUAAAGCCCCAAAUAAUUAUUUUGAGAGAUGAGGUUAUUAAUCUCAUUGAUACUUACCAUAGCAACAUCAUUUUCAAUAAACUUUUGAAAAGCAAUGAAAGUAAUACAUGUAUUAUUAGGUAGUAUAAAUGGUGCCUGAGGAGGAUAAAUAGCUUUAAUAAUAUUACAUGAUUCAUCUUUAUAGGAUCGUUCAAGAACAUUGAUGAAUAAAGGCAAAUAAGUGAUUAUAAACCAUGGUACGAAAAACAUAAUAUGAUUAUGUAAAGCACAAGUCUCAUGAAAUUCUUGAGAAAUAUUAUGCAAAUCCUCUGCACUAUAUGUGUUAAAAAACUAAGUUUUAAACUGGCUCCAUUUAUCACUUGCAAAUUCAUUUUGAAUAUAUUUUCUUGCCAGUGAACCUGGACUAAAAUCAAUUUGAUGUCCACUCAUCAUUAAUUAUCAUUAAGAUUAAAAUUCAUUUCGGAUGCAGAAGGAAUAUCCUUAUCAGAAAUAUUAGAUGAUUUAUCGUUUGUUCGAACAAUAUUUAAUCGAGGAUCAAUCAUGAUUUUAUCUUUAUUUUCAGACAUUUCGGAUGCAGAAGGAAUAUCCUUAUCAGAAAUAUCAGAUGAUUUAUCAUUUGCUUGAACAAUAUUUAAUCGAGGAUCAAUUUUAAUUUUAUUUUUAUCCGCAGAUAUAACAAAGGAUAGUGUAUGCAAAGAAGCAGCACGAUUUCGAGCUGGACCAUAAACAAGAUCAAUCGGCGAGAUGUGUUGGAUGGCAAGUAAUCUUCUAUCAGAAGAAAAUGAAUGUCUAUUAUAUGGAACAAUCUUGUCAUCAAACUGAAUGCAAAUCUUACCAUCAACAUUUUGAGUAAUAUGAGAAUAUUCAGUAUUAGUGACAACAUCAGCCAUCUGUUCUGGCGGUAUAACAAAAUCUAAAGUCCAAGUAGUAGGAAAAUUAAUCUCUUCCUAUUUUAUAGGUCUUCUAGUAGUGACCUUAUAUUUAGCAAAAUUAGUUUCAACUAAAAUGGUUUGAUCAGAUGUAUCAUAUAAUUUACAUCUUAGGUUUAACGUAGCAAGCAAUUUAUAAUAGAUUCUAUAAGAUAAACAAAUUAAUUCACCAGACGCAUAAUUAUAACCAUGCGUAUUAACAUUUAAAGAAAAAGCAUCAAGAAUAUUAGAAUCAGUAAAAUGUAACUGCAAAUUAGGUUGAGUAUUAAAAUAUACUCGGCCAUAAGCUACCGUGGAUUCUAUCGAACCCAUCAAAGAUUGUCGAAAAUUUAAAUUUCUAGCAUCACGAAGAGCAGCUAAGAAAGUUUCAGGUAACCCUUUAAGAGUUAGAGGAUUAAAAGCAAUUUGUACCAUGUCAAUAUGCAAGAAUUUAUAUUACGAUUUAUUUAAGUCAAUAUCGCGCUUAUUCAACAAACGAAUAGUUUGUUCAGACAAAUUUAACGCUAAAGAUUUCUCAGUAGUUUUUAUCAAUUGUUUAUUAGAGAUCUUAUCAAACCAACCAUAAUCAUAAAUGGUUUUUAUAUCAACUUUCGGAAUAGUCCAUUUGUUUAACAAAUCAAGGUUUUGAGGUAUAUCUACCUCUUCUAAUUUGGUACUUUUAGUACUAGUAUCUCCUAAAUCCAUGAUUAAGAGAAUAUAUCUAUGCCGAACUUCACAUCAAUUUCAUAUUACCAUGAAAGUUCCUAGGCUCUGAUAUCAACGUUACAGGAUCUCUGACCUGGCGGAUAUAUACCAUAUAGGAAUCACAAUAUCAAAAAAUUUAAUUCAAUGUGAUUAAUUCGAUAUCUAUUAUAUCAUACACAUCUACUUAUCUUAAUUAUUGAUAAUCAAAUUUAUUUUUGUUCACUUUUACUUCUCUGCUAUUUCAAAAAUAGUUCUUUACGACUUUUAACAUAUAAAGAAAAUACAAUUUUUUUUCCUCAUAUUUUAUCCUUAACGUUAAUUCCUUAUUCUUCAAGUUAUUUUUCAAAGCAUAAUAGAAAACAUCAAUUAAUAGAAAUAGUAUAGUAAAAUAGUCACGUCAAUCAUUAUUUUGUAUCAAGUCAUAUAUGACAAACAAAAACAAAUUUUAAAAAGUAUAAUAUUUAAUGUACUAUAAGAUUUAUACCUAACAAUUAUUACUCAUUAUAUUAAUUUAAUACAUCACUUUCAAACCAGCAAUCAAAGACCCCAAGUUAAUGGCUCAAAGGCCGUAUGAGGGAAGGUAGGAAAUAAAGCUACAACGAAUUUUCGUAUUUAUUGAGUUCUUGUCUUAGUCAGAAAGUUGUUAUUCCGAUUUUUUUAGAAAAUAAUUUAGUAGUAGUACCUAACUCAUAUAGAUUUAUUUUUUCCAUAGAAACUAGACACUUGUAUUAUUGCAUCAAAAAAUUAUAUAGUUUAAACUUUAAAUAUAUCCACAAUAUCAUGUACAAUUUAAUAUAGGAAAAAAUUCUUUCUAGAAAUUCCCUUCAGUGAAGAAAUAAAAAAGUACAAAUUAUGAAAGUGGUCAUUCGAUAUUUUGCUUUAUUAAAAAUUGAUCUAAUUAUCAAAAUUAUCGAAAUUGAACAAAUACGUUCUUCUUCUUCCUUCCAGUUUUGUCAUCAAUAACUUAUUUUCCUUUUUCUUCCUUCUUCAUUAUCAUCUUCUUGUAUUCUCCUUUUUUCUUUUUCUUUUUUAAUUCGACAUAUUAAAAACAAUGAAUCGUUUAGAGUGAACUAUAUAUGAUCAAAAGAUUCAAAAUAUUGAGAGUAUUUCAUAUAUAAUUUUGUUGGACUGUUUAGAGGUGAUUUUGAGUUGAUCAAUAUUGAAUAGUCAGUAUAUACUUUCUGAAUAGUCAAUGUAUGUUUCAUGUAUAGUUAAGUUAUAUUCAAUUUUUUGAAUGUAUCAUAAUAUACCGUCAGUGUAUAGCUCAUAUAUAGGUUAGCUAUAUUGUAUAGUUAGUGUAUAUUUUUUUAUGACUUUUGGCAAGAUAUGUUGUAUAAUUCAUGUAUACUUUUUAUGACUUUUGACUAUUUUUAUGAAAAUAAAAUAUGACUAUCUACAUUAUAAAACUAAUUACUUUAUUAUAUAUGUUUGAAACCAGUCCAAUAAAUUUUUUAGUUAAAUUAUAAGCUAUUUUAUUCAAACAUUAUAUAUAUAAAUCAAUACAAUCAAACAUGCUUGAAAGCAUCUAAAUAUUUUCACACAUCAAUGCUAUCUCCCAUUAAGAAUUUUCUUAAUAAUUACUUAUUUUGAAAGUAACUUUGCAACAACCAAUUUUUUCCAACGUAUUCCUGUAACAUCUCACAAUUAGAAAGAACUAGAAGGAAGUUUAAAAUUUGGAAAUAGUUAUUUUUGGAAAGUAUAAGGAAAUCUGGAAAAUUUUAAGUAAGUUAAAGUGCAUUGUCGGUCAACUUUAAACGACCAUAACUCCUAGAUCAUGAUGAAUUAGGUGUAGUUCCAGAUAUGGUUGGAAAGCUCUUGGAAUGAUCUUUCCAACGCCGCCAAGUUUACAUGAUUCCAAGUUCGUAUGAGUGAGUUAUUCUCUUUGGAAGUUGGGUUGUUCGAAUAAGGAAAUGCCCAAUCCAGAUUUUUGAAGGGUAGUUUGGUCUUUUCCUUACCCAAUUAAUUAAAUCCAUUUUUAAUAAAAUAAUUGGGGUCAAACUGAGUUAGUUCAGUUACACUUUUGAGAAAUAGAGUUAGGGCUUUUGGAGAAAAGAACGCAAGAGAAAAGAAGAGGAAAAGCAAGAUUCACCAAGAACGAUCGAUUUUGGUUGCGGAUUCGCCAGGGAAUUGACCUACAAGGUAUGCGAGUCUCUCAUAACGUUGGGUUCAUUCACCCACGCGCCAAACAUGUUUAGUUCAGCAAAAUUCGUCCUAAAAGAGUUUGUAAGUUGAUGUUCUUGACAUAAAUUCUUGAAUUUGAAUGUUGUUUUUGAAUUGGGAUGAAUUGAGAAGUUUCUGAGUUUGUUACCUCGCAUUAUAGAGUCGUUUCGAGUUAGAUUCUUAGGUACAUUUCCUGGGUAUCUGUAUCUAAAGGUAAUUUGAGAAAAAGAACCAAGGUUGUGUGAUUUGGGGCUGGAAAAUGAAGAAGAAAUUUUGUCCGACGAAAUUUGAGUAUGGGAGCGCGUCGCGCGACCUGUUCCCAGAAUUGAAAAAUUCUGCUCCGCUUCGCGAAGCUGACACGAGGUGUUCUGCCUCAAAAGACGUUUUCGGAACCAAAAGUUAAUUAUGCCUCCACGUCGCGGAUCCACCUUCAAAUCUUGAUUUUCGAUAUUUUCUCAUAUUUAGCUAUCUAAAAUCAUUCCUAAACAACAUGAGAUCUUUCCAAACACCAAUCAUAAUCUUGAAUCCAUAAUUCAAUUCAAGGAUCAGUUAAGAGUCAAGACAAAAGCACUUAAUCCCAAAGUCAAGAGAAGUCAAGAGUCAAGUAAGAGAAGUUCAUUUCAAGUUUUCAUAAGUCUUUUACAAACGUUCUAACUUUGUUUUAAGACUUAAGUUUUGAAGUUGAGUAAAGAGUAAGAGCAAAGUUCAUUUUCUUUAAAAUGAUAUACGGGAACUAAGUGUUUCCAAGAGUAAACGUUUUCACAUUUAAGAUGAGAGGAAACUGAGAUUUCCAAAAGAGUUUUGAACAGCAAAAGGGAACAUUGAUUCCAAAAUAGCUUUUUAAGCUAAGUUUGAGCAAUUAUCUCAAACCAGAGAAGAAGUUGUUUUAAAAACAUAUGAGCUAAGUAUAUUUUGGGAGUAGUAUUGAGCACCGAUAUGGGGACACGAGUUUAUAUUAACUCAAGCCCCCAAGGUCCUUGGCAACGUGAGGUAAAACGUUGUACCAUCACUUAGGCUCAUAGUGAUGGUUGUUGGUUAGACAAUCUCCCACAUAAGUUAUAUUACUUUCCAAAUGAGUAAAGUUAAGUUUGUUAUUGCUUUAUCUUUAACGAACUAAGAUUGUUUUCAGUUGUUUUAUAAGCUUUAUAUAUAUCUACCGCAUGUGUUUUAUUGCUUUAUAUUGAGUUGAGUAUCCAUGAGUUGAGAAGAGCCAGGUAGGUGUUUCUUCCAUAAUCUCUUUCGAGCCUAUGUUUGUUAGCAUUCCAACUCGCAUACUCAUACAUUCAAUAUACUGAUGCCAGUUGACCUGUAUUUUAUUAUGAUGUAGACACAGGUAACUAGGAUCAACAUCCAGCGUCUCGUUGAUCCAGCUUGAGCAUUCAGAGUCUAUUGGUGAUCCUCCUUGCAUUCAGGAGGACUCCUUAUUUGCUUUCUAGUCUUUCAGAUGUUAGGAUGAUCGGGGGUCAUGUCCCGACAUCCCUCUUUGUUUUAGAGGCUUCAUAGACAGUUAGUAGUUCAGUAGUCUUUCAUUAUCAUUCUUAUGUUAAAGACUUGGGUUGCCACUUUUGGCCAAGUUGAAUGUUUAAUCUUUAAAACAUUCUCAGUUAUUUUAUUAUUCAGUUCAAUUAAGUUCAUUGAUCAUUAUUGUUGACACCCAAUUUUGACCCUCCCGAUAAAAAUUAUUUUUUUAGCUUCUUAAUUUUUAAACGAUUUAGAAUAGCUAAUUUUAUGAAAUCCCAAAUAUUGUUCAAGUUAGUUUAAAGUAAUCUUGUCAUUUUAUAAUUUUUUGAAUAAUGUAUGUGUUUUACAUAAUUAUGUAUAUAUUAAUUAGUAUAUUUUAUGAACAUUCGAAAAUCGUCUCAAAAAUUUUGUCUAAUUAAAUAUUUGGUGAGUUUGUUUAAUUAUUUAAUAGUUUCUAAAUUUGAGUUGAUUAGUUUUGUUUUAUAUAUAGCCAAAUUAAUUAUUUUAUUUCAUUAAGACUAAGAAGCUCAUAAAUUAACUAUUAAUUCGUCUUAGUUUUGUAACGACUCAUUCGAUCAUUUUGAGUAUUAGAGCUUUUAUUGUAUAAAAUACUCUUCCGAUAGAUUUUAAAUGAGUGUUUUGGACUAUUCAUAACUACAAUUAUGAAAUUAGUGGAGUAGUUUUUAUAAUUAAGUUAGUUGGUAGUUAUAGAAGAUAGCAUUAAAAACAAAUAGUGGGCCACUUCUACCACCCCAUAAUUAGGCUUAAUAAUAAUUAGGGAUUUCCAUCGUGAGUUAGAAACUCAACAGAACUUCAACUACAGCGAUACAAAUUGCAGAGAGGCCGACGAGUACUUCAGGUAAAUCCAAUAUCCAAUAUGUAUUUGGUGAACCUGAACAAAGGUUUUAUGAUUAUUAUUAGAUUAUCGUUAUUAGACUAGAAUUUGAAGAGAACGAGUUUUCAGUGGUAGUGUUAGGUUGACAUCUGGUGAUUAAUGGCAAUAAGUGGUUGAAUUGUGAUUAAUUUCUGAGUGGUGACGUAAGGAAAUUAUGUAAUGCAAGAGUAGUAAUAUGGAUUUUUAUUGUCGUUAAACUGUAAGGGAAAUUGUGGGUAGUGAUUAUUGUUGCCUUGGGUUAAAUAAUUGGGUGAAAACUUCGGUGGAGACAAACUUGUCUCCCUGUUCAUUAUUUGAUUAAAUUAUUGUUAAGUACUAAAACAAUAGGUGGCAAAUUAUUAUCUAUUGAGAUUAGCAAGUGGAUUGCAGGCGAAAAGUUUAUAAACUUGAAUGGUCACUGUCAUGUUUUGAUAAUUUUGAAAUGGUUUUCGUGUGUUUGCUGACACUGGUAUCGUGACCAGUGGCUUCAGUUUUACCAUAUUAUAAACUUAAAUUUGAUAUAAUGAGAUGGAGGUAAUUAAAUAUAAGGUGUGGUAUAUUAUAUGAAUUACAUUAAAGUUAUGCUAAUGGGAGGAAUUAAGACUUACCCUUAGGUUUGAACUUUGGGAAGUUGAUUAUAGAAUUAGGUGAGUUUUUGGAUAUAGGAGGGACAUAGAAUAAUAUGAGUGUUUAUAGGCUUGUUAACUUACAAAUUAUGCCUAUAUACUUGAUAGAUUGGAAAGGUUCGGAGGCAUUGAGGAAAGGAAAGGCAUUGGAGAAGUAGCUUGCCUGACGUCAGUUCUUCGGUGGAGGUAGGUUAUGGUUUGUUCUAUUUGAUAGAUAAACUCUUAAUAGCGAUUAAUAUGCAUUGAAUGAUAUUGUGAAGUUCUCUAUGUACUUGACUGUGUGAUUAUGUGGCUUGGGUGUGUGGUUUGUGAUUGGUCUAAAAUCCUGAGACCGUGAGAUUUAUAAUCUGAAAACCUCUCUAUUGAAGUUAUGCCUUGAAUAAAGAGGGCUUGAUGUAAUAUUAUUAAUGAACAUGAAAAGUAGUGAUAAUAAAUGAUAAAUUAAUAAUAUUAUUGGAUCGGAGUGUCACGUUCCGACACGGUAUUUUUGGAUCGGAGUGCCACGUUCCGACACAGUAUUUUGGAUCGGAGUGUCACGUUUCGACACGGUAUUUUUGGAUCGAAGUGUCACGUUCUGACACGGUAUUAUUGAAUCGGAGUGUCACGUUCCGACACGGUAUAAUUGGAUCGGAGUGUCACGUUCCGACACGGUAACCUUAAGGAAAAAAUAUUGAAUUAACUUAAUGUACUCAAUCUCAAUGAACGCAUUUCCCAAAUGAGUGUGAUGUAGAGGCAUGAGUCCUCGUGUGUGUGCUUGAUAUUGUGAUUGAUUACGUACUUGUUUCAACUGUUACUUGUUCAUGUUGGGGUUUCUUAUCACCUGCUAAGUGCUAUAGUUGACUUUAUACUAUUAUUCAUUGUAUAUUAGUUUCUAUUUUGGGUUGACCGAUGAUACCUACUCAGUACGUGUUCCUUGUACUGACCCUUACUUAUGUUUUCUUCGUUUUUCUUUUGUGGAGUGCAGCAAGUGUACCAUCGACUUCGACUCGCCCUCAACUCUAGCCAGUCUCCAGCACAUCAGAUUUCAGGGUGAGCUGUUCCUUCUAGCUCGUGCUAGAUUCUCUCAGUUAUGGCGUGAUGUCCUUGAAUUUUGGACAUGGACCAUUGUAUUUACUUAUUUUGGGUUCUCUAAUACUUUUAGACUUGAUAUGUUAAUAACAGAUGUCCUUGAUGUGAUGACUUUCAGAUUUUGGGGAUAAUAUGUAAUAGACUUUAGAGGUUUAUUUGAUUGGUUACUUUAAUAAGUUUUGGAGCUUCCGCGUUAUUGUUGUUAGUCGUAGUUAAAUUAUUGGUAUAUGUUGGAGUUUAAAUUCCUUGGUCUGCCCACUUAGGAGGUGAAGUGUGGGUGCUACUCAUGACUCAAUUUGGGUCGUGACAAGUUUAAUUCUAGCCGAGUCAUCUAAAACUAAUUCUUUUGAUUACCUUCCAAAUCUUUAUGGAUAAAUUAUUAAUCUAUCACAAAUUCAGCUAAGUCAAACAUUUGCCUGCAUAUCACUAAAGAAUUGACUUUGGGCUCUUUUUGCCAAAGUUUCAACAGCCCACAGUUCCCUAUUCCCAUACAAUAUCAGCAAUUCCACCCCAAAUUCCAGCAGUGCCCAGCUGACCCAACCCAGUCCAAUUCCCCAACCCGAUCCAGCCCAUAUCUUCUAUUCACAAAAUGACCCAAAAGCUCCCAACGUUUUGAAAUCCCAAAGCUUCACGAUAACAGUAAGACCACGACGCCCCUCACAUCUCUAAUUUUCACGGCGAUACACGGUCCAACUCACGGAAAGACAACAACAGAGGGCAGUACUCUGUUUUCUUUGAUCUUUUCUCCAACGUCUCUCUCCAGCUUAGUCGCAGCAGCUGUUGUAGCAGCACGAAUCGUCCCUGCAUCCUUGAGAUGGAGCCACCUCGCUCGCCAAGGACGAUCGAUCAAUUCGAGGCGUCGAUUCGUCCCUUCCUCUUUCGGAAUGGGGCAAAAACUUCAGAAAAGGUGCCUCACCUAAAAUGGUGAAAGAUUUUUGGAAUUCAAAAUCGCUAAUUUCUCCUAUAUAAUCAUCUCUUCUAUUCAUUUGUAAGGGGGAUUUUUUUUUGGUUUCCAUUGAUACAGAGAACUAACCUAAAGGAAAAUAUAUAAAAAUACAUACGAAAUAGACACACAAAAUAGAGAGUCGAAAUUAAGCAGGAGUCGGUCUUCUUAAACCAUAUAAAUUUGGAGUCUAGAUUUGUGGUUUCUUUCCAGUAUUUUGCUCACCAAAGCUCAUCGGCAUUUGAUUCAAAGUGGUGGAAGCUUCUUCGUGUUUAGCUCGUCUUCCCGGUUCGCUGCCCCGAAAAAGGUAAUGUCUUCUCCUUUAUCAUACUCUCGUCGUCUCUUCUGCUAUUUCAAAGUGAUAUUUUGAUGUUAGAAAACCUUUAUGUUGUGGUUGUUUGCUGUUAGUUGACAUUGGGGUUGAUCACUAGUUUCGGACCUGCAGAUUACAUAUUUUCUGGCCUUACUUUGUUGUUAUUAUUGGUUGGUUUUUUCAUGUUUGAAGUAUGUAAUUUCUAUAGCGCUGGUUGCUAUCUCUCUAGUUGAGUAAGAAAGCAUGAUAUGUAUCUUUUUUAUUUCAUUUAGAGUUCAUUGUUGGUUAUGAAGAAAAUGGUUGUUUAUGCAUAUUACCUUUUUAUGAUAAGUUGAAUGCUUGUUUAUUGUGGGCUGUUUCUGGAAUUUUAGUUUUUCUUAACCUCAUGUCCUCCCAUUUUUGAGUUUGGUAAUAUCCAUUCACGCCAGGAGAAGUAUGCCUUGACCCGUUUGUUUUUCCUGUUGAUCACUAUUAUUAGAAUAUUUACUCUUUUAAUACUUACUGUUGGGAUUAUAGUUAGGCAUGCAUGGUCUAUUCAAAGCCAUUUAAUCAUUAUUUUUUUUAUUUUUUUUAUUUUAUAUAUUUUAUUUUAUUUUAUUUUUAUUAUUAUAUUUUUUAUUUUUUUUAUUUUAUUUUAUUUUUUAGUUGAAAAUCUUAGGAUAAGACAUUAAUUCAUUUGCUCUUAGUGGUUUAAGGUUGUUGAAAUAUCAUUUGUAUUGAUUUAAGUCCCUUUGUGAUACACCUUGUCUUCUUACAGUGUUUAAAUUGAAAUGUGGUAGUACAUAAGUUCAUAUUUACUUGGUACUUAUAUUACACCAUAAUUCCUUACUUACGAGUUUUCAUUUUUUAUUUUUAUGACAUCUGCCCGAGUUCACCAUGAACUCCCAUACUUUUCCUUGCAUUUCGAGAUAGGCCAUAAAGGCCCCAAUUCCUCCCUUCUCUCGACUCAGCCCCCAUGUCGAAUUGUGAAAUUGGCGUACAGGUUGAAGACGGUAUAUAAGGGUGGGGGGGGGGGUGAAAAUUGAAUUUUUAGAUUCCGGAAAGCUAAAAAAUGGGCUGAUAUACCCGCUGUAUACACUGGUAUACAGUCGGAAAAUACAGAAUACCGAUCCAAGACGUGAAAACUAGGGGUGCGCAUCGGUCGGUUCGGUUUGGUUUUAGGUGUUAUUGGUUCGGUUUAUCGGUUUUCGGUUUGUAAAUACAUCAAACCGAUAACCAAACCAAUAACAUAUUUCUUAUCGGUUUUUGGUUAAUCGGUUUAUGGUACUUAACAGUUCGGUUUUCGGUUUAACCAAUAAGAAAAUACUCAUAUAUAUUAUAUACACGAUAAGAUAAUUUUCAAAUAAACCAUAUGAUCUUUCCAGCAUUUGGCAUGAAAGUAAUAAUCAUAAAAGUAACAAUCAUUUUUCUUGCAAGUUUAGACACUAGAGACAUUCAAAGGAAAAAGUGUGAAAGUAACAAUCGUUUAACCAUUAACAAUAAGACUAGUAAAUUUAGUAUAGUCUUAUUGGGUUAUCGGUUUAACCAUUAACAAAAAUUAUAAAAUCGGAAACCGAACCAAUAACCCAAUAAAAAUUUUUUUGUCAAAACCGUUGAAAAACCAAUUAGCCCAAUAACCCAAUAUCAAUAAACCAAUAGUGUUUUUUUCGGUUCGAUUUAUUGGUUAAAUCGGUUUUUGCACACCCCUAGUGAAAACACAGGUGAAAAGUGCAGAAACACGAAGUUCGAAUGAAAUUACAGGUUCGGGAGUUCGAGAAUUAGAGAUAUACAUGGCGUUAGGGGUGUUCACAGUUUGGUUUGGGUCGGUUAUUGGUCAAAACCAAACCAAACCAACUUAAUCGGUUUUAAAAUUAUCAAAACCAAACCAAACCAAAUAUUAUAUACAUUUAUCAGUUUGGUUGUUUUCGAUUUUGGUUUGGUUUGGUUCAGUUAUUCGGUUAUUAACCAUACAUAAAAAUAAAAGAAACAAUCCAUUCAAAAACGUGAAAAAAGUGACAACAAUCCAUUCAAACAAAAAAAUAGUUAGAAUGACUGGCAUUAUAGAACUCUUGAUCACGAAUUUACUAAUUAAAACUUCAAAAUUCACUAUUUUGGCAUAGAAGGAAGAGACAAUGACUAUUUUUUAGUCCCACAAAGAAUUUUCAUAGACACUCAUAUACAUGAAACCAUUAAGAAAAAUGUUCUCACCUUUGGACUAUUUUUCUUUCAUAAGUAAAUUAUAAAUAAAUUUUGAUGAAACAUAUAUAAAAUCUUUAAAAAUUGUUUAUGAAUAUAAUAUAUUACGUAUGUAUAAUAAUAAAAUUUGUGUAUAUAACUUGUUGGUUCGGUUCGGUUAUUUCUUCGAUUUUUUUCUAACAAAAGCAUAAACAAACCAAAUACUAUAGGUUCUUAACAAUCUAAAACUAAACCAAACCAAAACCCAAAUUAAAUCGGUUCAUUUAAUCGAUUUGGUUUGAUUUUUCGAUUUUGAUCAAUUUUUAUCCAAACCAUGAACAACCCUACAUGGCGUAUACCUCAAAUAUACACUUUGUGUAUAUCAUGAUCAAGGAAGAUGGAAAAAGGGCCAAAGCCCAAAUGAAUUAUUACUUCUUCUUUUUUUGCAGAUUUGGAAAAUUUGGGCAAAAGCCCAAAUUCAAUAUAUCCCUCUUAAUUUAUUUGUUUAUCUAUUUGUUGAUUGACUAACGUUUUAUUUAUUUUUAUGGUUGAAUUAAUUAAUUCCCAAAGAUAGCCAUUUAGCUUUUAUAUAAAGAAAAAAAAACAUAAAUAGUUAUUUUAUACAUAUUCUUAUUACCUAGCUUCUAUUUUAAUUUUUGUAUCGUCAACACUUAGGUUACUCCCCUUUAGAAAACUUCCCCUUAGUUCCAUCCCCCUUAAGAUAAUUGUAUAACAAUAACAAUAAUAAUAAAAAUAAAAAAAUUAAAUGACAAUAAUAAAAUUAAAGUGAUGAAAAUAAUAAUAGUAAUAAAUAAAUAAGUUAAAAUAAAUGAGUUCAUUUACUUAGUUAAAAGUUUUAAAAAAUAAGUUAAAGUAAAUGAGUUUUUUUAUUUAGUUAAAGUUUUCAAAAAAAUAGUUAAAAUAAAAUGAGUUCUUUCACUUAGUUAAAAUUUCAAAAUUAUUCAAAGUCGUUAUGAGUCCUUUUGCUUAGUUAAAAUUUCAAAAUUAGUCAAAAUCAUUUUGGUCAAAUCGCCGGUCAACCGCGAGUUAGCGGGCAUUCCGAGGGCCUAACACCUUCUUGGAAUGUACAUUGAACUUCGAACCAUUUAUUUUCAAUUGGUUUUAUCUGUUUAAAUCUUUGGAAAACUUUAAAUUUUUUCUUGAUUUUUAUUAAAAAUUAAGUGGCGACUCUGUUCUUUUGGAAAUUCGAUUUCUCUUAAACCAUAAGUUUGAUCGAUUUUUUGAAAACUCAAUCAUUUUUCUUUUAUAAAUACUUUUAAAUAAAACAAUUAUAGAUAUGAAUAUUGUCUUCCGCUGAGUUAAGUAAGCCAGGGCAGGGGUUCGCUUGGUGCCAGCAAUGGUCUUUAAGUGCCAAUCCCUCUCAGGGUGUAGGCUGGGGGCGUGACAAUUCCAAUAUUUAUUAAGCCCUUAUCUCAUCCAAAAAGUUAUGUUUCGAUUCGUUAGAUGCUCAUGCUAUGGUAGUACCUAACUCGCAGAAGACUACAUUUUUAUUUCUUCAUAAAAGCUAGACACUUCGUAUAACUACAUCAAAAAGUUACAUAUUUUAAAUAUAUUAUAUUCAAUAACAUCAUGUAACAUUUAACCCGGGAAAACCUCUUCGAGGAGUUAGCAAAAAAUAAAGCAUACAAAUAUCCUCACACGUUACUUCUAUCUCCAAUCAAACUUUUCUUGGUAAUUUUCGAGCAAUUAAUUUUUUUCAACUUGUUUCUGUAUCUAUUGAACCCUUAUCUUAUCCAAAAAGAUAAUGUUUGAUAUUUUAGAAAGUAACUUGUGAGCCUUACUGGAUGGAUGUUCUUUCUAUUCAAUGCUAGUACGUCUAACUCACAAACGUCUAUUUUUUUUUUACUUUUCAAUUUAGUUUAAUUAUCUGAUUUUCAUUUAAACGAAGUUUUAAACUAUGAAAUAUUUUACUUUAAAGAGGCCGUUAGAAAUAAGGAGAAUUAAAAGAUUAAUAAGGAGGGAAUUUUUUACUCGAAAGAUUAUCGUCAAAGACAUUCUUUGUAAAAUAAAGAAAAAAUAAUAUUAUAUCAAAUCUCAUAAUAUAGAAAUAUUUUAAAAUCUUCUUCGUAAAUAUAUUACACUCCUACCACUUUAAUUUACAGCAAAUAGCCUAAGGAGUAUAAGAGAGAUCCACAAGUACCAAUUUAACUUUCUAUGUGCAUAAUAUUCUCAUUGGUAAAUUGUAUUUUAGUAGUCUUUAAUAAUAAUUUUAAAAUACUUGUAAGUUGUAAUGGUGUCGUCGUCAUUGAUAUUUUUAGCAUUUAUAAAAUAUUAGAGUGCAAAUCAUUAUUAAAAAAAUAAAGAUAAAAAUGUAACACAAAAAACACAUUGUAUGUUAAAUUACUCCAAUUUUUACGAUGUAGACAAGAGCGAGUGGGUUGUUACAAUAAUUUAGGUCAAGCUUUCACAUUUAGUGAGACAACGGAGCAAUCUUUGUCAACAAAUUAAAUACAAUCUCUAAAUAAACAUUGAUUGAAAACAUUGUUAAUUAAUCAUUAACAUAUACAUAGAAAAAAACAUUUUUUUCUCAACUUACAGUAACAUAAUAUAUACUCUACAAAUUUCAUUUUUAACAGAUGUGCAUUUAAUCAGGUCAUAUCAAGUAGAUUAACUAGCGCAAUAGGUAGAUUUUAUGAAAUGGAUAGUCUCCUCUUUGUUUGUUUUAAAAAUUCUCGAAGCAGAUAAGAAUGAAAUUAAUUUUACUAGAUGCCACUUUUAAAUUCGGAUAGUAUGGGUUAUGUUAGUAUGGAAUUAAUUUUACUGAAUGUUCUAUUCAAUGCUAGUACUGUCUAACUCGCAAACGUCUAUUUUCUUUUACUUUUUAAUUUAAUUUACUUAUCUGAUUUUGAUUUAAACAAAGUUUUAAAAUAUGAACUGUUUUACUUUAAAGAGGCCGUUAGAAAUAAGGACAAGCUAAGUUUGAGUUAAAAAAGUUAAUAAUGAGGGCAUUGUUGGCACGAAAUAAGAACAAACUUUGAAUUAAAAGAUUAAUAAAGAAAAUAAUAUUAUAUCAAAACUCAUAAUUUAGAAAUAUUUUAAAAUCUUCUUCGUAAAUAUAUUUCACUCUACCACUUUAAUUUACAACAAAUAGCCUAAGGAGUAUAAGAGAGAUCCACAAGUACCAAUUUAACUUUCUAUAUGUGCAUAAUAUUCUCAUUGGUAAAUUGUAUUUUAGUAGUCUUUAAUAAUAAUUUUAAAAUACUUGAAAGUUGUAAUGGUGUCGUCGUCAUUGAUAUUUUUAGCAUUUAUAAAAUAUUAGAGUGCAAAUCAUUAUUAAAAAAAUAAAGAUAAAAAUGUAACACAAAAAACACAUUGUAUGUUAAAUUACUCCAAUUUUUACGAUGUAGACAAGAGCGAGUGGGUUGUUACAAUAAUUUAGGUCAAGCUUUCACAUUUAGUGAGACAACGGAGCAAUCUUUGUCACCAAAUUAAAUAGAAUAUCUGAAUAAACAUUGAUUGAAAAUAUUGUUAAUUAAUCAUUAACAUAUACAUAGAAAAAAAACAUUUUUUCUCGACGUACAGUAACAUAAUAUAUACUCUACAAAUUUCAUUUUUAACAUGUCACAUGUGUGCAUUUAAUCGAGUCAUAUAAUGUAGAUUAACUAGCGUAGAUUUUAUGAAAUGGACAGUUCCCUCUAAAUUUAUUUUAAAAAUCAUCAAAGCAGAUAAGAAUGGAAUUAAUUUUACUAGAUGUCACUUUUAAAUUCGAAUAGUAUGGAUUAUGUUAGUAUGAAUUAUGAUGUUGAUGUAGUAGGUAAUUUAGGCGUUGGUCACUGAUCUUAGUAUGGAUGCAUAAUUAUAUCUAUAAAUAAAAUUUCCCUUUUCGACAAAAAAAAAAAGUCAUAACAAGUAUGUCGGUAGGCCCAGUUUGUAGAGUAAAUUUCUUAGAUAAUCACCCAUGGUUGGUGAUAAAAUUUGGAGCUCAAAUUAAAGUUUUUUUAAAAAUUUGAAAUUAAUAUUUAUCUAUAAAAUAUGAACAAAAUUCCAUUUCAUUAUAUUAUAUUACAAAGAAAAAUUCAUAAUUUAAACUUUGAAAAUGAAGACCCAUGCUUGACGUGAAGAGAUUGUUUAUACAAUAUGAGGGGAUUAUAUUAAAGAAUAACUAGUUAUCGAUAUUAUUGAUUUAUUGGAUCAAUGAAUCUUUGUAAAAUUAUGUCUAUUUUAAAAAUUCGUAAUAACAUGUAAUCGCAAACCUUUAUUUAUUAAGAAAACACAAAGAUAUACAAUUUAUUAAUGUGAUACCUUAGGAUAUCCGUUACCUUGUUAAUGAACUAUAUAUGAUUUGCCUGGUGAGAUUAUAAUAGUUUUGAUAAAUUGUGAGGAUUUUCAUAUUUAUGAAGAAAAAAUAUUAAUUAAAGAAUUCAAAUUGCAUGUCAAAUAAAAUUGAAGUUUUUGCAAGAACUUUCCCUGUUUUGGGUAGUCUAUAAAAAAAAUUGAUUCAAUUUUCUAGUAGAGCUUGGAUGUUGUAUUAAUCCCAAAAUUCAGCACCUACAUAUACAAGCAGGUGAAUAGUCUUUUUUUUGCCUCCAAAAUUAUAGCUGCAAAAUAGAAAUAUACCUAAUUAAAAUUAAGUUCCAACAAAUAGCAUCUAGUAGCCUUUAAUUGUCAUCCUUAAAUAUAAAUAAUAGUUUCAAUUUUUGUCUAUGUUGGUCGUUUUAUAAAGAAAUUACAGCCAAAUUACUCUUAUAUAUGACAUAAUUUUGCAAGACAAAAAACUUUUGUCUACCUUACAUAAAUUGUACAGCAUCUAAUUUGCAAGACACAAUUUAAACUGACAAAAACUUUGUAGGAAUAAACUAUUACUUGAUCUUAAGACAACUUUAUAGGUUUCAAAAUUGAAUGAAUACUUUUAUCAAAAGUAAGUUUUACAUGAACUAAGUUAUAUCUUAUAUAACAUAAUUUGUAGGCUACGAGCCUUUUAGGGUAUAACAUUCUAUUAUAAUAAGUUUUAUAAAUAUGACAUAAGUUGCAACUUAUGAACGUUCUAAAACUAGCCUUAUGCCUUUGUCGUCGUAAAGAUCUAAGUUUAUCCUUUUUAAAUCUUUCUACCAACCCUUUUUUUUAUUGUUGUUUAGCUUAUUAUAGUUAACCAACUAUCUUCCGCUUCUUUUUUGCAAAAUAAAUCUUUUCCAUUUAUAGAGCCUUCAUCUUUUCGUCUAAGGGUAUGUUUGGUAUGAAGGUGAAAAAUAUUUUUUAAUUUUUUCAUGGUUGGUACUUGGUUGGCUUAAAUAUUUGGAAAAUAUUUUUUAAAUCAACUCAUUUUCCUCAAAUUUAAGAAAAAUGACUUUUCUUCCUGUCAAUCUCCUUGAGGCUUGAGCAACUAACGAAUUUAUUUUUGUUUAUUUAAUAUUAGAAUUAUAUCAGUCAUUUUUGUUUAUUUAAAAUGACAAAGGAUAAAAAUUAAAUAUCAUUCCGAAAAAUAGAGGCUUUCCACAAAAUGAUCCAAUAAAAUUUUCAAGAGGUGUUUGGAUGGACUUAAAGUUGGUCAAACUUAUUUUUAAGUCAAUUUUGACUUUUGAAAGUCCUUCGCAGAGCCACAUGUAGUUAAGGAUUUUAAAAACUAUUAUUUUAAAGUCUAUUCAAACGGGCUCUAAGUUAUGACUUUUGACUUAUUUUUAUCAUUUUAGCUUAAAAUUAAAUGGUUAUAAAUAUUUACAAGCUAAUUCAAAUACUUCAAAAGUAUUUAAAAUUUAUUUGGACUUAAAAAUACUUGAAAUAAGUUAAUUUCAACAUGCCAUCGAUGUUUGACCAAAUUUUUUAGAAGUGUUUUAAAUGUAACAACGUCAUUUCAUCAACCAAGCUUAUAAUUAUAGAUAAUCCAAAACCACAACUUCAACUAACACAUAAAAGAAAACAUGUUGACACACACACACACAUAUAUAUAUAUAUAUAUAUAUAUAGCAAAUAGAUUGACAAUAAGCUUUAUCGCCCCGCCGUGGCUCCUUUCAGCUUUAAGCGUACAGGCGUUAAUGCAACACACUCAUUCUCCUUAUUAUAUUCAGUUGGUAUAACCAUAAUAUAUAUAUAUAUAUAUAUAUAUAUAUGGUUCUCUUUCUCAAGCUCAAGGAAACGCCUUUAUUAAAACAUUACAUGAAAAGAAAUAAAUUAAAAUGACACAUAAAAUUAAACCAUAAAUCUCUCACAACUCAUAUUCCUCGCGAUCCAUGAGAAUCCAUUUUCCAUCUUCUUGUUGAACCAUCCCAUUGUGCUUCUCGACCCACCAAGCUCCCUAAUUAAAUAUAUUCUCCCUAAUUUAUGUAUUUUAUUUUUCCUACUUAUCAGAUUCAUUAACACUUCAUAUUUUAAAUAUUAAAUUAACAAAACACAAAUAAAUUGGCAGAUUUUGAAGUAGUAACUUCUUUUCUUUUUUUUUCUUGUGUUGCUGAUGAAAGGGGAAUGUUUGUCUUACUGAAUUUGGUUGGACUUGUGUUUCUUUUCAAUUACAAUUUUUUUUUAUUAUUCAUUUGAGAGUUUAUUGGAUUUAUAUUCAUGCCAAGAAGUUUUAUAUAGAAAGUAAAGCGCUUCUUAGCAAAAAAUAUUUCAUACUUAGAACUCAAACAUAAAUUUUUAAUUUAAUAAAUAAAGAAAUAUUCAUCACUUUAUAAUUCUCGUGAAUAAAGGGGUGUAAUUUUCUAUCUAGAACUCAUGUUGUUUGAUCUUUUUAUCUAUUUUUUUAAAUAAUUAUAUUUAAUAGAAUAUGAGCCAAAAGAACAUUUCAAAUGGACCAACCUAAUGUAUAGGUUUACAUUAAAUAGUGAGCUUCAAAUCCCAAUAUUUGGAAACUUUUUUCAUAGUUUAAAAUGAAUUAUUUAAAGUUUUCAAAAAAUUAUUGAUUUUUUUCAUGUUUACUUUUAAUUUUAUAUUGUCUAAUAGAAUAACUUGAAGAUAACAAAAAAAAUAGUAAAAAAGGGAUUACGUAAAUUUGAAAAACAUAUUUUUAUAUAUUUUUCAUAUUUACUUUUAACGUUACAUUUUUCAAUUUAUAUGAUAGUACAUUUUUAGCUAGUCACAAAAAAAUAUAGUUUUUAUAUUUGAUAGUAAUUUAAUUUUAAAAUAUUGUUUUAGCCUUUAAAUAUACCAUUUUUUUAAAAAAAAAAGUCUUUUUAAAUUACAUGUCCAAUCAAACAAUAUCUAUAAAUUGGGCGGGGAGUGAAUAUUCAAUACUUUCUCCAUUCCAUAUUAGUUGAUCACUUUACUAUAAAUAAUUGUAUCAUAUUAGUUGAUCACAUUACUAAAUCAAAAGAACAUUAAUUAAAUAUUUUCUAUAUUACCCGUUAAUAUUUUUUGAAAUUGUUGACAUUUGUUUGCAAAAUUUCCAAGAAAUUUUUUAAAAGGUAAAUUAGUAAAACUAUCUUCUUAUUUAUAAUUUAUUAAUAUUCAUGAUAAAAACUGAUUAACUAAUAUGAAACGGGGCCGUUUCAAGAUUCAAUUGUUGACAUGUCACGUUCUAAAGAGUCGUUAUUUAUGUGACAGCUUUAACUAAACUAGAAAGCGAAUAAAAGAGUCAUCCGGAAUGCAAGGAGGCUCACCACUGACUCUGAGUGUUCAACUGGAUCAACGAGGCGCUGGAUGCUGAUCCUGGUUACCUGCGUUUGCAUCAUAAGACGAUGCAGGCCAACUGGCAUCAGUACAUUGAAUGUACGAUUAUGCGAGUUGGAAUGCUAAACAACAACUUAAGCUUAGAAAAAAGUAAGAAGGAACACUUACCUUGGCUCUGUACAACUCAUGAAUAACUGAACUCAAUAUAAAGCAAUAAGACACAUGCAAUAUAUAUAUAAAGCUUGUAAAACAGUAUAAACAACUUAGUUCGUUAAAGAUAAAACAAUAACAAACUCAACUUUAUUACUUAUAUAUAAAAGUAAUAUAACUUUUGUGGAAAAUUCUCUAACCGACAACCACCACUAUGAGCCUAAGUGGUGAUACAACGUCUUGCCCACGCUGCCAGAACUGUCCUAUACUUUGCCGUCAUAUAAAACGCUUAACUUAGUGGAUCCACUAGUCUAUGCUAAAAGCAUCUUAAGGAGUCAUCUAAAAAGUAUGAUCCUUUACUACCCAUGAUGGCUACAUGGUUUAUGGAGACUUAAGUUACUAUGAACUCGCAUCCCCAUAUCGGUGCUCAAUACUACUCCCAAAAUAUACUUAGCUCAUAUGUUUGUAAAAGCAACACUCUUUCUUUGAAUUGAGAUAAUUAUUCAAAUAAAGACUCUUGAAAACUUUAAGAAACUUUGCUUUGACUUGCUUCUUAACUUCUAGACUUGACUCUUAACUUCUUUGACUUUGAUCUUAACUUUCCUUGAAUUGGAUUAUGGAUUCAAGGUUCAUGAUCUCAUGUUUAUGGAUGAUUUCAUGAUGUUUAGAUGUACCUUAGAGUGUUAGAAUCAACUAGGAAACAUAGGUACAUCACUUAGAAACUAGUACGAAAAGAUAGGGGAACAAUGGGGUGAACUGGCGUCCUUGGCGCUCUGAGAGGCGUGGGGCGUCAGGCCCCAAAUUUCAGAGGACAAGAUGGGGUGUGUUGGCUGGCGCGGUGCCCCAAGGCCAAAACUUCAGACACUGCUUUGGGGCGCUCUAGCUAGCGUGGCGCCCCACCCUUUUACCCAGAAAAUUAUGACUUUCUCCUUCGUUUUUCAUCUCUAAACCCUUAAAUCUUCCCUAGUUCAACACGAAUGUCCUUCAAGAACUUCACUUUUUAACAUGUGAACAACCCAAAAUCGCUGAAUUGAAACAAGUUGGUGUGUGGAUGAACUAACCCAUCACUAAAAGAACGCUUGACGUUCUUGGCGAAAUCUUGGCUUCUCUCCCUUUCUUUCUUCUUUUCUCUUUCCUCCAAGCCCUAAGCGUAUUCUAAUUUUUCAAAACUGAAUUAAGUUCUGUUUUUAAUGAAUUAGGAAAUUAAUUAGAGAAAAGACUAGUUUGCCCUUCCUUAAAUCCGGAUUGGGACUUUCCUCAAUCCAACAGCCCAACUUCCAAAAGACAUAUCUCACUCAUAUAAUGUCGAAAUCGCUCAAACUUGGUGGCGUUGAAAAGAUCUCUCCAAGGGUUUUCCAGCCAUAUCAAGAAAUGCUCCUAACUCAUCCUGAGCUAGGAGUUAUGGCCGUUUGAAAAUGGCCAAAACUCACUUUCUUAACUUAGACAAAAAUUUCCAGAUUUCCUUAUUCUUUCCAAAAAUCAAUAUUUUCAUAUUUUAAACUCUUUAUAAUCGUUUCUAGGUGCGAGAUGUUACAGCACUAGUGACCACUUUUUGGACGGUAGGAAUACUAGUGUCUCAAUAAUAUAAUUAAAAAUAUACGUAUAUCAUUUACAAUGAUUGGGGGUAUAUUUAUCUUUUUUCCCUUUAAAGAAAGAAUUCUCCUUUCUAUGAACGCCAAUUAGUUUUACAAUGUUGUUGUUUCAUUGUUUGCACAAUUAAUAAAACUGGGCCAGGUCAUAGUUAAUUGAUAAAAAAAAAAAAAAUUACAAAAGUAUAAGCAGAUAUUAACUUUAAUAUUUGUACAUAUUCAAAUGAAUUAAUUGACAUAAAUAUAUUAUUUAAACAAAAUCUAGAUUCACUAAAUUCACAUCAGAAUUACUAGCUCCGCUCUAUAAGUAUAAGUUCAUUUCUCAUUUUGAUUAACUAAGUUACAAUCAAAUAUUUGCAGGUUUCAAGACCAUCUCUGGUCUGAUUUGGGAAGAACGAACCUAGAGUUUAUUUGUAACGACCCGUUUGGUCGUUUUUGAGUACUAGAGCUUUUGAUUUCAUAAAAUACUUUUCGAUAGAUUCUAAUUUGGUAUUUUGGACUAUUUGUAACUACAAUAUGGAAUUAGUGGGGUUGUUUUAAUAAUGAAUUUAGUUGGUGGUUAAAGAAGAUAGCAUUAAAAUUAGUAAGAUUUAAUAUUUAUUAGUUCAUAAUUAGUUACCCUAGAUAAUUAAAAGCACUAACGAGAGAAACACUACCUGCGGCGUCAACCAGAAGCGACUGCCAUCCAGGUAAUGCUUCAUCUCUUCGAUUUCCUUAAGUAAUAUGUAAUGGGUUUAUAUCAAUUGAGUGGAAAUCCUUGGGAUGCAUUAAUUAUCCAUUUGUCUUAUCUAUUGAAUAUGUUGUUUGUCCAAUUUUAGUGAGUGAAUGUUAGGCGAUAAUUAUGAUGAUUAUUAUAGUAUUGUAAUUAGAUGAGACAUUGGAAAGAACGAGUGUGCAUUGGCAGUAGUGUUAGGGUGAAGUGUAGUUAUCAAUAGUAGGAGUGAUAAUUAUUGUUUUAUAAUUAAGGUUUGGAUGGGAAUUUAGAAUGGAUAGUAGCGGCAGGAUUGUGGGAGACAAACUUUUGUGAGUAAUUAUUGGCAAAUGUGUGCCAUUUCAACAUUUAAGAAUGAGGUUAUAGUGUAUUAUCAUAAAUAAGUUAGUUUGCAUUUUAUUGUUUUAGGGUGAUAUUCACAAUCAGUAGCUUAGCUUUAAUGUUCGUUAUUACGACAUAAUUGAAAUGAUGAUAUAUGGGUUUAAGUAAGUAAACUAUAUUAUAUUAUCAUAAAUAAGUUAGUUUGCAUUUUAUUGUUUUAGGGUGAUAUUCACAAUCAGUAGCUUAGCUUUAAUGUUCGUUAUUACGACAUAAUUGAAAUGAUGAUAUAUGGGUUUAAGUAAGUAAACUAUAUUAUAUUAUCAUAAAUAAGUUAGUUUGCAUUUUAUUGUUUUAGGGUGAUAUUCACAAUCAGUAGCUUAGCUUUAAUGUUCGUUAUUACGACAUAAUUGAAAUGAUGAUAUAUGGGUUUAAGUAAGUAAACUAUAUUAUAUUAUCAUAAAUAAGUUAGUUUGCAUUUUAUUGUUUUAGGGUGAUAUUCACAAUCAGUAGCUUAGCUUUAAUGUUCGUUAUUACGACAUAAUUGAAAUGAUGAUAUAUGGGUUUAAGUAAGUAAACUAUAUUAUAUUGAUAUCAUUAGAUUUAUGAUAUUUAAAAGAAUUGAGACUUAACUCUAGACUAGGCAUAUAGUGAUAUGAGGAUCGAUAGAAUUGUUUACUUACGAAUAAUGUACAAUUGAUAGAUCGAGAAACAUUCGAGUGUGAUGUGGAGGCAUGAGUCCUCGUGUGUGUGCUUGAUAUUGUGAUUGAUUACAUACUUGCUUCAACUGUCACUUGUGCAUGUUGUUGUUUCUUAUCACCUGCUAAGUGCUAUAGUUGACUUUAUACUAUUAUUCAUUGUAUAUUAGUUUCUAUUUUGGGUUGGCCGAUGAUACCUACUCAGUACAUGUUGCCCCGUACUGAGCCCUACUUGUAUUUUUCUUUGUUUUCCUUUUUUUUUGGAGUGCAGCGAGUGUACCAGCGAAUUUGACUCGCCCUCAGCUCUAGCCAGUCUCAGUAUAUCAGGUUUAAGGGUGAGCUAUUUAUUCGAGCUUGUGUUGGAUUCUCUUGGCCAUGACUUGAUGUCCAUAGUUUUCGGACACAAAUUACUUUAUUUCAUUUAUUUCGGUGUCUUUGAUUCUCUUAGACUUAGUAUUUAUAGAUUAUAUGUCCUUGAUGUGAUGACUUUCAGAUUUUGGGGAUAAUAUGUAAUAGACUUUAGAGGUUGAUUUGAUUGGUUACUGUAAUAAGUUUUGGAGCUUCCGCAUUUUAUUGUUGUUAUUUGGAGUUGAAUUAUUGGUAUAUGUUGGGGUUUAGAUUCCUUGGUUCGCCCACUUAGGAGGUCAAGUGUGGGUGCCACUCAUGACUCAAUUUGGGUCGUGAUAUUAUUCAUCUUGAUAGGUCCUCUCAUUUUAUUUAUUUUUUAUUUAUACAACAAUCAACCUUACUAUAUUUUAAUGCAUAAAUGAUCUCAAAGAAUUAAACGAUGCAAUAGCAUAAGUUACAAUUCAACUUACUUUAUGUAAUAAUGAAACAUAAAACUUAGCUAAAUUGUGCUCUAACAUAUUUUAAGAUCUAGAAAUAUGUAUAUGUACAUCUUUUAAACAAAGAAAAAAUCCUUUUGGUCAAAAUAUUUGAUCAGAAUUUGGCCAGAAUGAUAUUUUACUUAUGUUAUUUUACUUUUUAAAACAUUUUUACCCUUUUAAUUUUAAUACAUUUUAAUUAAAAAUAGAAAAAAGAUUAGUUUAUUUUAAAAUUAAAAAAAAAAUUAUAAUUUCUAACCAAUUAUUUUACCAAAUUUUCAAGCCAUUUAACAUUGCCCUUAAAUAAAAACAUAAGUUUUCAAAUAUCUUCAUAACUAAUCUCUACAACUAUACUUCUUUUCAGUAUCAGACAAAUUUAUAUCUUUGACCAUUCAUUUUCCAACGCGUUUUCCAAUGCAUCAUGAAUUAUUAUAUUCCCAACAAAUUAAAUUGGAAUAUUAAAAGCUUAUAAGGAAAUAACUAUCACUAUUCAUAGCCAUCCCAUCACUACUCAAUGCUUUCCAUCCUCUCAUAAUUGACUGUAUGAGAAGGACACAAUGAGUCUACAAGAACAUUUUAAAAAAAACACUUUCUCACACCUUAAUUACUUAUUUAUUUUUGAAUUGACACCUAUUUUAAAAAACAAUUAAUACUCCCUCCGUCCACAAUUAUUUAGCAGGUAUACUAAAAAUAGAUGUUUAAGAUUAAUUGUCAAUUUAAACAAUCAAGAAAUAAUUAGUCAAGUUUUUCCAAUUUUGCCCUUAAUGAUAGUGUAGUUUAAUUGAAAAGUUAAGUGAACUUUUGAUAUUCUUGGUAUAGUAGGGUUAUAUUAGUCAAAUUACACCUUAUAUUAAAUUUUCCUUAAGGGAUGUGCAUGACCUUACCCUGACAAACAAUUGUGGACGGAGGGAGUAACAUAGUGAGUUUAUCAUUUUACUCCUAUUAAUUAUGAAAUGAGUGAAUUAAAAACUUAAGAUUUUCAAGAACUUUUAUCUCUUUCAAAGUAAAUAAUUGAGGGUAUAAUAGAUUUUAAAAAAAAUUAUCCUUUCUUAAUUUGUCAAAAUAGACAAAUAUAACUAAAAAAAAAAUAGGCAAAUAAUUAAAAAAAGAGGAAAUAUUAUCUUUUCUUGCGUAUAUGUAUAUCUAAAAAAUUAGUACGGACAGAGGAAUUCAAUUCUUGAUUAUUGAUUAUAAUAUGCCUGUUGUGCUGUAAUUUUCCUAUUUUUAGAAAAAUCACUUUUUGAAAUGUUCUAAGUAUAAAAUAAUUUGAGAAAAUACUUAGAAAAGAAUAGCCACUUAAUUUUUUAAAGAAAUCAAGAAAAAUUAUAAUUUUCAAAGACCUAAACAGAAAAAAUCAUUUGAAAAUAUAAAAAAAGAUUCGUGAUUCAAUUUACACUUCGAGAAAGAUUUAAGCAUUCGAAAUAUCCGCUAACAUGCGAUUGACCUGCGACUUGACUGAAAUACAUUUGACUAUUUUAAAAAUAAAUAACAAAAUAAUGAUUUAACAUAAAAAUAAUAGCUUAUAAUAUAUUUGAUUAAGAAAAUAAUUAAAUAGAUGACGCAUUUUUUAUUUUUUAUUUUUAUUUAAUUAUUUUUAGAGAAGGGAACCCAAAAAUGAAACAUUUAAAUUAAAUUGCAAGUAAAUAGAAUUUUAACACAAUUAGGUUAAUUAGGAAUUGCUUGACUCAUUUUUUUAUUUUUAUUUUUAAAUAAUGAUUUAAACUCAAUUGGUAAAUUUAAACAUGAAAACCAUUUUUUAUUAAUUGAAGAAUAAGAGCUUUGACUAGCCUUUUUUUUUUUUUUUUGAGAAAAUGACUAAGUAAGAAGGGAACAUUUUUAGUUCAUUUGAGAAAAAAUAUUUUAACUUGAAACCACUUAAAAAUAAAAUGUGAUCAAGUGAAUCAGCCUUAAUACAUAUUUUUUAAGAACAAAGAUUUAACUUAAUUAAAAUAUAAAAUUCGACCAAUAUUUGAUUAACAAAAUAAGUGAACACAACAAGUGAAAUGUAUUAAAAUAAGCCAACACAAAGAAAAUGACUCGUUUUUUUGGGGAUUCUAAUUAAGUUAUUUAAAGUUAGAAUUAAAUAAGAUUAGUCAACACAUAAUCAAACACUUAGAGUAGUAAACGAGAUAAUGAAAUUGGGCCCCUUCUUGGGCCAAUUUCGCUGUAUUUUUAAGCCUUAAUUCAAUUCCCGUUUUGCGUAUAUACCGGAUGUAUAUCAGUGUAAAUGAGCAUAUAUAUUAGCUUUUUUCAUGUAUCUCUUGCUUCCGAACACCUGUAUUUCGCCGCAAGCCUGUAUUUUCACAUUUUUUUACCUGUAUAUGAGUGUAUACUGAUGUAUAUCAAUGUUUACAGGCUGUAUCUCAGCCUGUUUUCAGCUUUCUGAGACUUUUGUGUCUGCGUACUGUUUUGUGGAACCUUCCGAAACUCGAACAAAGAUAAAGGCCAACUCAAUAAUGGAUCUUAACUCAACGAAAUGCGGGGAUGGAGUCCCAAGUGGACUUGGAUAAAUUUACAUACAAAAAAAAGAAGAGGAAAACAAAUUAGUAUCACUCUAAUUAAUCAACUACGCAUGUUUGAUAAUUUGACUUUCCAAAUCAGUAACAACACUUCCAGGGGAAUUGAAAAUCACUUUACAAGAUUGACACUCAAGUGAUAAAUACAACAAAUUGCCUCCGUGAUUUGGCAUUAAUAUUUUAACAAGAUUAAGAGAAGAACAUGAUUCAGUACACUCAAGUAAUUCCUAAGGCUACUGUUAAUGUAUAUAAAGUUCAGAUCAAAUUAUUUUUGAUAAUGUAUGAGGGUACUGUAUCAGUUUUUAUGAGGGAAAUGAAACUAGAUACACACUGCCAAGACAUAACUGGAAGAUAACAGUACAACUUCUAGUAUUCAAGUAAUCUUAAAGCUUCGCAUCACUGUAGCACAAUAAAAGAAGAACUCAAACCAAUUGUCUGCUUUCGAACACCCAGUAACAAGUAAAUGCUUAAUUUAAAGUAAAACGAGGCGACACUCAUUGAACAAAUUCCUUUCUAAUGCUUAGUAAAAUUACAAACCAUGAAGAGAUGUAGAAUCAUUUACUCUUGUACAUCUAGAAGAGGCGGCAACAGACCCAUGUAACACCGAAACGAAGUCGAACACUUUUGAGUAUGAACAAACCAGUAAAUAAACUAGUGAGGUAUGACAAGAAUUUGCAUAAUUUGUUAAUAUGAAGGAAUAUGGUUUUAACAUUUUUUACAACUUUAGCGAAAGGAGUGGGAGAAGGGAUAAACAUGAUUCAUCAAUUUCCAGGGCAUUAAUCCAACAAUAAUAUAAUAAUACGACUAAAAAAUAAAGAGAUAGAGAAAGCUACUGAUCUAAGCUAAAUAGAAAGCCAAGGAGAUGAACACUUCGGGAGGUCUGGCCUUUUUCUUUUUUUUUUUUUAAAUAGAGAAAACAACAUUACAAUAGCUAAAUAAAGGAAACCAGCGAUGCUAAAAGACAGCGGAAACAAGAAUAUACAGAUUUAACGACAUCAAAGCAAGCAUACGAAAAGGAAAAUAGCAAAGCGCUUUCAAACAGAGGAGUAGAGGAGCAAUGAUACUAAAUACAUAACACAAAAUUAAAUCAAUAUAAAAACUCAAUCAUAGUAACCGACUAAGAAUAAUGCAUCAUAUCAGCAUAUCACUAACUCGGCACAUGAUAACGGACCAGCCACAGAACAAACAUUUUCCAACAUCGGAAAAUACCACAUCAAAAUAAAUGAAUAGACGAGAAUACUAUGAAGGAGGAAACAUUACCUUUUUUCCGGGCAGCGACUGAGACAACGUGCAGGGGGCAACUUUCCACGACUUUUCUACCACACUAGUGCGGACUCGAGCAGCCAAAAGCAAACGAAUAAAAACAAAACCAACUGACCUUUUGUAUGCUAUUUUCGUAUGUGAAAUCUUGCCCUCAAAAUCCAAUCUUUUUUUUUUUUUAUCAAUUUCGCCCCGCCCUUUAGUGAUUAACAAGGAACUAUUUAUAGAAGGGGAAAUAUGGUUCACGAUUUUUGGGGGGAAAACGGGUGAAGAACGGAUAGGAAUAGGGGCCAAUUCGGAAUUCCCCACAAAUUCCCAAAUUCAAAUUCUUUACCAGGAUUAGAGAACAGUUGGGUUUGGUACGAAAUUUCUUCCAAAAUCCCAGAAAAUCCGGACGAGGCAGCAGCGUGGACAACUUCGAUCAAAUCCACCGCCCUUGCGCUUGACGUGGCGCCAUCUCAUAGCCACAAGGUCGAUUGGACGCUGCUGGCAGGGCUGGAACGAGUUGGUGAGGGCAGAGGAGGGAGACGUGGAAAGUUGCUGGUUCCGUGAACUCCGCUGUGUGAUUUGACUCCGUUUGGUGUCGUUGCUGCUACUGUUCGAGUUACCGCUGUGUGAUUUGACUCCGUUUGGUGCCAUUUACUCGUUGCUUUGAUGUUGCUGCUGCUUUGUCGUUGAAAUUGAAAGGGAAAAAGGGGAUGGGGCCUGGUCAGGGGGAAUUGGGUCGAUUUGGAAUUGUUGUUUGGAUAUGUUGUAUGUGUAUUUUGAAUUGGAAUUGUGGGCUGGAAUAUGGUUGCUGCAUUGUUGUUAGGCUGGAAACUAUUUGUUGUACAGGAAAUUGGAAGUGGGCCUUUAGGAAGUGGCCCAAAAUUAUUCUUAAAAGAUGGGAUAAGCAAUUGACUAAAAAUUGUCAUUAAAUAAUGGAUUUCAAUUAUUGCCGAUUAGAAUUUAAUUGGUGAAUUCGGCUAAAAUUUAAACAAGAUGAGUUAAUACAAAUUCAUUAAUGAGCUUCUUAAUCUUAACGAAAUAAAAAAUAAUUAACUUAAUUAUAAACUAAUUAAUUCAAUUACAAAACUAAUUAACUCAAAAUUAUAACUAUAACUUAAAGUAAAUUAAUAAAAUAUUUAACUAACAUGUAAAAUCUUUUGUGAUGAUUUUCAAAUAUUUAUAAAAUAACGUGAUUGCAAAAAAUAUACAUAUUUAUUAUUAAAAAAUGAUAAAAUUACUUUAAACAUAGCUUGAAAGUAUUUUGAAUUUCAUAAAACUCAUUAAUUCAAAAUUAUAACCAUCUCUAAUAUUUAAAAUAUAAAAUCUUUUUUGAGGCGAUUUUCGAAUAAUCGUAAAAUAUACUAAUUAUAUACAUAAUUAUGUAAAACAUAUAUAUCAUCUAAGAUUUAUGAAAAGUGACAAACUAUUUAAAAAUCUUGCAAACUAUAUUAUUAUUAUUAUUUAUUUAUUUUCAUUAUUAUUACUUUUUUUAGAAAUUUUAUAAAACUAAUAAUUUUAAAUCGUUUGAAAUUGGAGAUGCUCUAAAUGAUUAAUUUAUAUUGUGGAGGGUCAAAAUUGGGUGUCAACAAUGCCCUAUUUUCAUAGAAAUAUUAUUUUAUUCAAUAAGCAUAGUGCAUGUAUAAUAGUAUGUCUUUAUCUUUACAUGGUUUAACUUUUAACAUAUUGGAUCUUAAUUUAUUAAUUGCAUUGUGUCUUAAUCUACUUGUACGAUAUAACAUGGUUUAACUUUAACAUAUUGGAUCUUAAUUUAUUAAUUGUAUCUUAAUCUACUUGUACGAUAUAAUUAAGACAUUGCUAUGUAUAAAUACACAUAGAUAAAAUCUUACCAACAUUAGUUAAUUAGAUCCAAUAUCGCUAUAGGUUUUAAAGACAUUUACAAAAAUAUUAAGUGCUACUUAAAACGUAAAUGUAAUAUUAAUUAUAACUAAAGAUCAUUUUCGGGGGGAAAAUGAGUAUCUUUCUUCCAACUUUUAUUAUUGAUCGAUGGAUCAGUGGAACUAUAUAUUCAUAUUUUAUUUUGUAACUAAUUACUACCUAGUACUAAUUACCAUACAUUCUUAUCUUUAAGUUUUGAAUUCAUUUAACAGAUAUUUACUACUUGUUUAUAAAAAUAUUCAAUUUGAGGAUUGAGCUAGAUGUUUCAAUAUAUUCAAUUCUUCAUUUCUUUGCAUGAAAUAAUUCAUCGAUUAAAUUUAUAACUCGCCUUAUCACAUCAUGCAUGUGAAAUAUAUCUAAUAUAUGAGUAAAUAAUAAAUUUGAUUGAGUUCUUUUAACGAUAAUCAUAAAUGAUGUGCUAAAGGGUCUGAAAUUUAAUUAAGUACAACAUUUAAAUAGCCCUUCUUAAAAACAUGUAUACAAAACAAGUUUAACUUAAGGUGCAGAAAGUACAACUUAAUUACAACACACUCAUAUGCAUUAUUGCAUAUGAUGUGUUCGCAAUAACCCUUUAUUCAAACAUUACAUGGAAUUAAAGAAAUAAAAUUAAAAUAGCAAGUACAUUAAACUCCAAAUUAAAUUAAACCUCAGCCACAACUAUGUCAUACUCCUCUCGAUCAUUGAGAACCCAUUUUCCAUCUUCUUGUUGAAACAUUCCUUUGUUCUUCACAGUCCACCAAUUUGCUGGGACAAGAUACUCACUUUUCAAUGCACCUGAAGAUUUGUUAACAAGCGCGAUAUCACGAUCCACCUCUAGUUUAAAACCUGUUAAAAGUCCUAUACCUUGAGUUCCCGCAACUCCAUGCAUGUAACACUCCAAAUUAUGCCAUGUGAGGAUAUCUCCAGGGAGAUUUAAAUAAGGGGAUUUUGUGGUGUCGAUUAUUAUUUCCUGCCCAACGUCGAGAUAGCCAAUAGGUGGAUAUUUCGGAACAAUAUCCAAUAUGUUAUGAAUUCUCAUAACGUGAAGGUAUUUCAAUUUGUUAAAUGCGUUUAAAAAAUUGAGAUCUCCAACUUUAGGACUUGCAAAUACAAAAGCUGUCACUGGGAAUUCCUUCCCAUGACUUGACUUGUUGAUUUUAUUGUAAGCUAUGUCAACUGCAUUCAGAGUCGCAAGGGAU